rnacentral:pre_miRNA from 1 species
UGUAAACAUCCCCGACUGGAAGCUGUAAAACAGCAGCUCCAGCUUUCAGUCCGAUGUUUGCG